rnacentral:pre_miRNA from 1 species
AGGGGUUCUACAGGGUCGUCCCGAGACCACAUGAGAAUGCAUAUUUUAUUUGCUUGUGGCCUUGUAUGAGAAUGCUCAGCUCAUGUGUUCUCAGGUCGCCCCUGCUGGACUUUU